CGGAAUAGUGUGUGUUGUGUGAAAUCCCCCGGCUUAACCGGGGAAUUGCACAGCAAACUGCUGUUCUUGAGGCAGGUAGGGGUGCAUGGAACUCUUGGUGGAGCGGUGGAAUGCGUAGAUAUCAAGAGGAACGCCAGAGGUGAAGACGGUGCACUGGGCCUGUCCUGACGCUGAGGUGCGAAAGCGUGGGGAGCGAACGGGAUUAGAUACCCCGGUAGUCCACGCCGUAAACGAUGUCUACUAGGUCGUGGGUGUUCUGACACAUUCACGGCCGGAGCAAAAGUGUUUAGUAGACCGCCUGGGGAGUACGGCCGCAAGGUUAAAACUCAAAUGAAUUGACGGGGGCUCAUACAAGCGGUGGAGCAUGUGGAUUAAUUCGAAGCAACGCGCAGAACCUUACCUGGGUUUGACAUGCUUGUAUGCCUUCUCUGAAAGGAGUUAGGCUGCCUUCGGGUGAAACUUGCACAGGUGCUGCAUGGCUGUCGUCAGCUCGUGUCGUGAGAUGUCGGGUUAAGUCCUUUAACGAGCGAAACCCUUGCCGUUAGUUGCCAGCGAGUAAUGUCGGGGACUCUAACGGGACUGCCGGUGUUAAACCGGAGGAAGGUGGGGAUGACGUCAAGUCCUCAUGGCCUUUAUGCCCAGGGCUUCACACGUGCUACAAUGGCAAUUACAGAGCGACGCGAUACCGCGAGGUGGAGCAAAUCGCAAAAAAAUUGCCUCAGUUCGGAUUGCAGGCUGGCAAUUCGCCUGCAUGAAGUCGGAAUCGCU
rnacentral:rRNA from 1 species